rnacentral:rRNA from 1 species
GACACGACUCUCGGCAACGGAUAUCUCGGCUCUCGCAUCGAUGAAGAACGUAGCGAAAUGCGAUACCUGGUGUGAAUUGCAGAAUCCCGCGAACCAUCGAGUCUUUGAACGCAAGUUGCGCCCGAGGCCAUCGGUUGAGGGCACGCCUGCCUGGGCGUCACGC